rnacentral:tRNA from 1 species
GCAGUUGUGGCCGAGUGGUCAAGGCGAUGGACUAGAAAUCCACUGGGUUCAAAUCCUGUCGACAGCG